rnacentral:rRNA from 1 species
GACGAACGCUGGCGGCGUGCUUAACACAUGCAAGUCGAACGCUGAAGCUCAGCUUGCUGGGUGGAUGAGUGGCGAACGGGUGAGUAACACGUGAGUAACCUGCCCUCUUCUUUGGGAUAACGCCCGGAAACGGGUGCUAAUACUGGAUAUUCACUGAUUCUCGCAUGGGGGUUGGUGGAAAGGUUUUUUCUGGUGGGGGAUGGGCUCGCGGCCUAUCAGCUUGUUGGUGGGGUGAUGGCCUACCAAGGCUUUGACGGGUAGACGGCCUGCGAGGGUGACCGGUCACAUUGGGACUGAGAUACGGCCCAGACUCCUACGGGAGGCAGCAGUGGGGAAUAUUGCACAAUGGGCGAAAGCCUGAUGCAGCGACGCCGCGUGAGGGAUGGAGGCCUUCGGGUUGUAAACCUCUUUCGCUCAUGGUCAAGCCGCAGCUUUGGGUUGUGGUGAGGGUAGUGGGUAAAGAAGCGCCGGCUAACUACGUG